GACGAACGCUGGCGGCGUGCUUAACACAUGCAAGUCGAACGGUAAGGCCUUUUCGGGGGUACACGAGUGGCGAACGGGUGAGUAACACGUGGGUGACCUGCCCCCUACUCUGGGAUAAGCCUGGGAAACUGGGUCUAAUACCGGAUAUGACAUGUUCCUGCAUGGGGAUGUGUGGAAAGUUUUUCGGUGGGGGAUGGGCCCGCGGCCUAUCAGCUUGUUGGUGGGGUGAUGGCCUACCAAGGCUUCGACGGGUAGCCGGCCUGAGAGGGCGUCCGGCCACACUGGGACUGAGACACGGCCCAGACUCCUACGGGAGGCAGCAGUGGGGAAUAUUGCGCAAUGGGCGGAAGCCUGACGCAGCGACGCCGCGUGGGGGAUGACGGCCUUCGGGUUGUAAACCUCUUUCGACCUCGACGAAGAGUGAUGACGGUAGG
rnacentral:rRNA from 1 species